GGGUUGUGAGGUUAAGCGACUAAGCGUACACGGUGGAUGCCCUGGCAGUCAGAGGCGAUGAAGGGCGUGCUAAUCUGCGAUAAGCGCCGGUAAGGUGAUAUGAACCGUUAUAACCGGCGAUACCCGAAUGGGGAAACCCAGUGUGACUCGUCACACUAUCAUUAACUGAAUCCAUAGGUUAAUGAGGCGAACCGGGGGAACUGAAACAUCUAAGUACCCCGAGGAAAAGAAAUCAACCGAGAUUCCCCCAGUAGCGGCGAGCGAACGGGGAGGAGCCCAGAGCCUGAAUCAGCAUGUGUGUUAGUGGAAGCGUCUGGAAAGGCGCGCGAUACAGGGUGACAGCCCCGUACACAAAAGCGCAUGUGCUGUGAGCUCGAUGAGUAGGGCGGGACACGUGGUAUCCUGUCUGAAUAUGGGGGGACCAUCCUCCAAGGCUAAAUACUCCUGACUGACCGAUAGUGAACCAGUACCGUGAGGGAAAGGCGAAAAGAACCCCGGCGAGGGGAGUGAAAAAGAACCUGAAACCGUGUACGUACAAGCAGUGGGAGCNGUGACUGCGUACCUUUUGUAUAAUGGGUCAGCGACUUAUAUUCUGUAGCAAGGUUAACCGAAUAGGGGAGCCGGAGGGAAACCGAGUCUUAAUUGGGCGUUAAGUUGCAGGGUAUAGACCCGAAACCCGGUGAUCUAGCCAUGGGCAGGUUGAAGGUUGGGUAACACUAACUGGAGGACCGAACCGACUAAUGUUGAAAAAUUAGCGGAUGACCUGUGGCUGGGGGUGAAAGGCCAAUCAAACCGGGAGAUAGCUGGUUCUCCCCGAAAGCUAUUUAGGUAGCGCCUCGUGAAUUCAUCUCCGGGGGUAGAGCACUGUUUCGGCUAGGGGGCCAUCCCGGCUUACCAACCCGAUGCAAACUGCGAAUACCGGAGAAUGUUAUCACGGGAGACACACGGCGGGUGCUAACGUCCGUCGUGAAGAGGGAAACAACCCAGACCGCCAGCUAAGGUCCCAAAGUCAUGGUUAAGUGGGAAACGAUGUGGGAAGGCCCAGACAGCCAGGAUGUUGGCUUAGAAGCAGCCAUCAUUUAAAGAAAGCGUAAUAGCUCACUGGUCGAGUCGGCCUGCGCGGAAGAUGUAACGGGGCUAAACCAUGCACCGAAGCUGCGGCAGCGACACUCAGGUGUUGUUGGGUAGGGGAGCGUUCUGUAAGCCUGUGAAGGUGGCCUGUGAGGGUUGCUGGAGGUAUCAGAAGUGCGAAUGCUGACAUAAGUAACGAUAAAGCGGGUGAAAAGCCCGCUCGCCGGAAGACCAAGGGUUCCUGUCCAACGUUAAUCGGGGCAGGGUGAGUCGACCCCUAAGGCGAGGCCGAAAGGCGUAGUCGAUGGGAAACGGGUUAAUAUUCCCGUACUUGGUGUUACUGCGAAGGGGGGACGGAGAAGGCUAUGUUGGCCGGGCGACGGUUGUCCCGGUUUAAGCGUGUAGGUGUGUGUUCCAGGUAAAUCCGGUUCACUUUAACACUGAGGCGUGAUGACGAGGCACUACGGUGCUGAAGCAACAAAUGCCCUGCUUCCAGGAAAAGCCUCUAAGCAUCAGGUAACAUCAAAUCGUACCCCAAACCGACACAGGUGGUCAGGUAGAGAAUACCAAGGCGCUUGAGAGAACUCGGGUGAAGGAACUAGGCAAAAUGGUGCCGUAACUUCGGGAGAAGGCACGCUGACANGGAGCUGAAGUCAGUCGAAGAUACCAGCUGGCUGCAACUGUUUAUUAAAAACACAGCACUGUGCAAACACGAAAGUGGACGUAUACGGUGUGACGCCUGCCCGGUGCCGGAAGGUUAAUUGAUGGGGUCAGCGCAAGCGAAGCUCCUGAUCGAAGCCCCGGUAAACGGCGGCCGUAACUAUAACGGUCCUAAGGUAGCGAAAUUCCUUGUCGGGUAAGUUCCGACCUGCACGAAUGGCGUAAUGAUGGCCAGGCUGUCUCCACCCGAGACUCAGUGAAAUUGAACUCGCUGUGAAGAUGCAGUGUACCCGCGGCAAGACGGAAAGACCCCGUGAACCUUUACUAUAGCUUGACACUGAACAUUGAGCCUUGAUGUGUAGGAUAGGUGGGAGGCUUUGAAGUGUGGACGCCAGUCUGCAUGGAGCCGACCUUGAAAUACCACCCUUUAAUGUUUGAUGUUCUAACGUGGACCCGU
rnacentral:rRNA from 1 species